rnacentral:rRNA from 1 species
ACGAACGCUGGCGGCGUGCUUAACACCUGCAAGUCGAACGGAAAGGCCCUGCUUUUGUGGGGUGCUCGAGUGGCGAACGGGUGAGUAACACGUUAGUAACCUGCCCUUGACUUUGGGAUAACUUCAGGAAACUGGGGCUAAUACCGGAUAGGAGCUCCUGCUGCAUGGUGGGGGUUGGAAAGUUUCGGCGGUUGGGGAUGGACUCGCGGCUUAUCAGCUUGUUGGUGGGGUAGUGGCUUACCAAGGCUUUGACGGGUAGCCGGCCUGAGAGGGUGACCGGCCACAUUGGGACUGAGAUACGGCCCAGACUCCUACGGGAGGCAGCAGUGGGGAAUAUUGCACAAUGGGCGGAAGCCUGAUGCAGCAACGCCGCGUGCGGGAUGACGGCCUUCGGGUUGUAAACCGCUUUCGCCUGUGACGAAGCGUGAGUGACGGUAAUGGGUAAAGAAGCACCGGCUAACUACGUG